GGGCGUCGUCUCACUUAAAAUUUGAGAAAGUGGAAGGGAGCCAUAGUUUUCUCUAAGAUUUGAACGUCUAAAACUUUGGCUAGUGCUCAUGUGAUAACGAAAGGAUAUAAUGGCAAGCUAUUUCAUAACUUGGUUUUCCAAGGUUUUACGAAACACUGAUCUUUAGGAAUUUAAAUAAGUCUCGCAGGAAACCUUGAUUCGCAGUAUAAAGUGAUACUCCCCCUAUUAAUUGGUUUCGGAGAGAGUUGAAGGUACUUUGUGGGAAGCUUAACAAAAUGUUCUUCGCCAGGAAGGCUCUAUAUUAAGAAUGUUUAGGAGGGUUAAAAAAGGUUUGUGAAACAAGUACUGAAUGCCGAAAUGUAGACAUGGAUAAUUUCAGCUAUAGAGCUUAUGGUAAUUUCCUUAUCUAAAGUUGAUAUAAAACAAAACUUUUUGGUAUAGUGCAGAAAAUCAACAGGGUAUAAAAAUAUUGAUAGCAAGUAAUUAAUUAAGGAUUCAUAGGAAAAAUUGUUUUCAAUCAUCAAUGAAAAUUUAUAAAAAUCUAUACAUGGAUGGCUUAGACUUCUCGUGACUACCUUUCUAAGGAGCCCUACUAUUCUACGAAUUUUAUUUAG